rnacentral:snRNA from 1 species
GUGCUUGACUUGGCAGCACAUAUUGGAAUGAAAAUUGGAACAACUUGGUGAAGAUUAAUCAGCAUGACCCUGCGCAAGGAUGACACGCAAAUACAUCAACUGCUCCCUGUUUUU